rnacentral:rRNA from 1 species
UACGGAGGGUGCGAGCGUUGUCCGGAAUCACUGGGCGUAAAGGGCGCGUAGGCGGCCUGAUAAGUAGGGGGUGAAAUCCUGCGGCUUAACCGCAGGGCUGCCUUCUAAACUGUCAGGCUCGAGCACAGUAGAGGCAGGUGGAAUUCCCGGUGUAGCGGUGGAAUGCGUAGAGAUCGGGAGGAACGCCGGUGGCGAAAGCGACGGACUGGGGCUUUGCCGACGCUCAGGCACGAAAGCCAGGGGAGCGAACGGG